rnacentral:rRNA from 1 species
CCUACGGGAGGCUGCAGUGGGGAAUAUUGGGCAAUGGGCGCAAGCCUGACCCAGCAACGCCGCGUGAAGGAAGAAGGCUUUCGGGUUGUAAACUUCUUUUGUCAGGGAAGAGGAGAAGACGGUACCUGACGAAUAAGCCAAGGCUAACUACGGGCCAGCAGCCGCGGUAAUACGUAGGUGGCAAGCGUUGUCCGGAUUUACUGGGUGUAAAGGGCGUGUAGCCGGGUUGACAAGUCAGAUGUGAAAGCCUGCGGCUUAACCGCAGAACUGCAUUUGAAACUGUUGAUCUUGAGUACUGGAGCGGCAGCUGGAAUUCCUAGUGUAGCGGUGACAUGCGUAGAUAUUAGGAGGAACCCCAGUGGCGACGGCGGUCUGCUGGACAGCAACUGACGGUGAGGCGCGAAAGCGUGGGGAGCAAACAGGAUUAGAUACCCCAGUAGUC